rfam:Allomyces macrogynus ATCC 38327 genomic scaffold supercont3.57, whole genome shotgun sequence.
GUCACCGUAGUGUAGUCGGUUUAUCACAUCUGCCUUACAAGCAGAAGGUCCUCAGUUCGAUCCUGAGCGGUGACA